rnacentral:rRNA from 1 species
GACGAACGCUGGCGGCGUGCUUAACACAUGCGAGUCGAACGGAAAGGCCCUGCUUUUGUGGGGUGCUCGAGUGGCGAACGGGUGAGUAACACGUGAGUAACCUGCCCUUGACUUUGGGAUAACUUCAGGAAACUGGGGCUAAUACCGGAUAGGAGCUCCUGCUGCAUGGUGGGGGUUGGAAAGUUUCGGCGGUUGGGGAUAGACUCGCGGCUUAUCAGCUUGUUGGUGGGGUAGUGGCUUACCAAGGCUUUGACGGGUAGCCGGCCUGAGAGGGUGACCGGCCACAUUGGGACUGAGUUACGGCCCAGACUCCUACGGGAGGCAGCAGUGGGGAAUAUUGCACAAUGGGCGGAAGCCUGAUGCAGCAACGCCGCGUGCGGGAUGACGGCCUUCGGGUUGUAAACCGCUUUCGCCUGUGACGAAGCGUGAGUGACGGUAAUGGGUAAAGAAGCACCGGCUAACUACGUG